CCUACGGGGGGCAGCAGUGGGGAAUAUUGGACAAUGGGCGAAAGCCUGAUCCAGCCAUGCCGCGUGUGUGAAGAAGGCCUUCGGGUUGUAAAGCACUUUCAGUGGGGAAGAAAGCCUUGGGGCUAAUACCCUCGAGGAAGGACAUCACCCACAGAAGAAGCACCGGCUAACUCCGUGCCAGCAGCCGCGGUAAUACGGAGGGUGCGAGCGUUAAUCGGAAUUACUGGGCGUAAAGCGCGCGUAGGCGGUCUGAUAAGCCGGUUGUGAAAGCCCCGGGCUCAACCUGGGAACGGCAUCCGGAACUGUCAGGCUAGAGUGCAGGAGAGGAAGGUAGAAUUCCCGGUGUAGCGGUGAAAUGCGUAGAGAUCGGGAGGAAUACCAGUGGCGAAGGCGGCCCUCUGGACUGACACUGACGCUGAGGUGCGAAAGCGUGGGUAGCAAACAGGAUUAGAUACCCCAGUAGUC
rnacentral:rRNA from 1 species